CAAAAAAAAAAAAUAAUAAUAAUAAUAAAAUUCAAGAAACAGAAAAUUAAUACAAAAUUACAAGAAGGGAUUAAUACCCAGAAAGAACUAACUAAUCAAGGUUUACUUCCUGCAAAAUUCGUAGAACCAGAACCAGAUUUAUUCCCUCUUUUUUCUUCACUUUUCAAGAAAGGCCACUGCUUAUUCCGUGUAGGAUUUGAAGAACUUGGUGGGCGUUUCCUUAAGCCAUUCAUUUCCACUGCUUUUGCAGGCUCUUUCAUUGACCCACUCUUGCCUCUCCAUUAACAGAAAAUGAAGUAAAAGAAAUUAACAAAUUUCUUGACAGACUUUGAACACGGCCACUGGGAUCAUUGAGGACCCAUGAAGGCGAAACACGCACAGCAUAAAAUUUAUGAAAAUGCACAAAAAGAAACCCUAUCAGAACAACCCUAUCAGAACUAGUGUUCUGUGACUGUUUUUCAUACUGAUUGAGAAACUAAGAUAUUGAAAUGGAGAUGGCAGAAAAUGGAGGACUUGAAUAUGUUUAUACGAGGAUUGAGAAAAGGCUAUGCAUACUGCUUGUUGGUUGUUCCUCGUGCUAUAG
rnacentral:lncRNA from 1 species